GAAGCUCACUCUCUACUCUGCGCUUGCCUCGCGUGCUUCUCUGUUGUUACACUUCAACACCUGAGGAAGCAGGACUCGCCACCAGUAAAUGGCGGUGUCAGAUUUGGAGGUCCCACCGAGAUCUACCCGAGACCGCCCAUCUCUCAAAUGACCCUCCAGCCUAUUGCUUCUCAACCAGACUUUUACUGUGGACUGCUCAAUCUACCUGAUUUCUAAAAGGGAACUCCAAACUGCUUGCCCCACACUGCCCCCUUCCAGCUCGAAGCAGCUCUAAGCAGCCCCCUUCUUAUUGCGCUUUUAAACUGAAGAGAAAUGCCUGAAGCAAGGGCUGUCAUAAUAUCAGCUGAAUGCGGGACAGGCGGCCAGAGGACGUGUGUCAUUAGCAUCAGCCUUCUAGGGGAUGCCUGCUGCUCAUUAUGUGUGGACACGAUUAGGCUCCACAGGGACCAUGCGCAGGAAAGAGCAAUCACAGGCUUCCCAAGCGAAUCUGUCUUCCCAAACAAAUCUACAGAAUUGCUCUGUUCACAGGAGGACUUCCAUUAUAGGUUUAUUGACUUUUGGGUAGAAGAAAUGAGUUCGAGGAAUGAUUACUAAAAAUUACCCAAAAAAUUUUAAGAUGCAGUUUCUGAUUAGAUGCCAGAAUGAAUUAUUGAUUAGAGGAAAUUAUUAACUGAUUUUAAAAAGAACAAACCUUUGUGAUGUUGGAGAAUGGAAUUUACGAAUUGGUUUUGCGGAUUAUUAAGUCAUGUAUUCCUUUCAUCUGGAUCUUCACGUCAUUAUGGGGUAUCAUUUUUUGACGAUGAAAGAUCCCAAAAAGUAAUGUGUUGAAAUAAAGUGGACUUAGAACGCACAUGUGCAAAAUCAUAGUUUUGGGCAAAAAUUACCUUCAAUAAUUUCAGGAGGGAAACCUGAACAAAAAUUCUCCCAUAGGCAAACAUUACCCUUUGUUAGUUGCAUAUUCAUGCCAACUUACUAAGCAAACAAUAGAGGAAACAAACCAUUUGGAGAAAUCAUUGGAUUAUCACUGGGUAACUUGAGCUGGUUUCCUUUUCCCUUGUAACACAGAUAGAAUCUUCCUCAUGGAUAGCAACAACGGAAUGGUUAAAAGCACACAAGAAAUCUGUGAUAUCACAAAAUCAGCUUGUCUCUUGUGAAGCAAUUAAAGCCCUCGAAAUUACUUCUGUAUCUGAACUGGUGCAAAAAGUGCCA